UAGAGCUAAUACCGGAUAAUAUAUUGAACCGCAUGGUUCAAUAGUGAAAGACGGUUUUGCUGUCACUUAUAGAUGGAUCCGCGCCGCAUCAGCUAGUUGGUAAGGUAACGGCUUACCAAGGCAACGAUGCGUAGCCGACCUGAGAGGGUGAUCGGCCACACUGGAACUGAGACACGGUCCAG
rnacentral:rRNA from 1 species